rnacentral:rRNA from 1 species
GACGUAGGGCGCAAGCGUUGUCCGGAAUCAUUGGGCGUAAAGCGCGUGUAGGCGGCUCGAUAAGUCUGCUGUGAAAGUCCAGGGCUCAACCCUGGGAUGCCGGUGGAUACUGUCGAGCUCGAGUCCGGAAGAGGCGAGUGGAAUUCCUGGUGUAGCGGUGAAAUGCGCAGAUAUCAGGAGGAACACCAAUGGCGAAGGCAGCUCGCUGGGACGUGACUGACGCUGAGACGCGAAAGCGUGGGGAGCAAACAGG